CCUGACCCAGGGAUCAACACCCCACCCCUCCCCUUCCUGCAUCAGCAGGCGGAUUCUUUACCACUGAGCCACCAGAGAAGCAUCUAUAUUUUCCAUGGCAUUCCAUUGCUUUUUUUUUCUUAACUGAGCACUUAUAAGCCCACUGUCGAACUAUAGUUUUUACCCAGAUCAUCUCAUUUAAUCCCCACAAUAACCGUACUCAACAGUGUUAUCAUCACCCAAUUUCACAGCAAAGGAAACAAGAUCAGGCUUCACAGUCAAUGCUGGAUCAACCCCGGAUCUCCUGGCUUUGAGACAGCGCUUAUUCCGCUAAACCCAGAGGCCUCUACAAACCAAAUAUGCAGAUAGACCGCUACCUUGGAGCUGAUACACGGCAAAAGUAAACAAGCUUUUUCUCAGGCAGCCCAGCAUGGAGGCCUUCCCUAUUCAAACACUGCAAGAAUCGACAGGCUCGGAUGGACUGAGCUCCCAGGCCCUGCUUCC